CUGCUAGGAAGUCCUUUCAGCAUGAAAGAAGUAGUGUGUCAGGUACUCCAAUGGCCUUGAAGACAGAAGCCAAUAGUGGUUUGCAAGAAAAAUCUGAGGGGAUGAGCUUUUACAAUGAUUAUUUGCUGAGCUGGAAAUGGCAAAUGAGAAAAUAAUUCUCCUACUAAUUUCAACAGUUCCAUCAGUCUGGAAUAAAGUAGUC